GACGAACGCUGGCGGCGUGCUUAACACAUGCAAGUCGAACGGGAAGGCCCUGCUUUUGUGGGGUGCUCGAGUGGCGAACGGGUGAGUAACACGUGAGUAACCUGCCCUUGACUUUGGGAUAACUUCAGGAAACUGGGGCUAAUACCGGAUAGGAGCUCCUGCUGCAUGGUGGGGGUUGGAAAGUUUCGGCGGUUGGGGAUGGACUCGCGGCUUAUCAGCUUGUUGGUGGGGUAGUGGCUUACCAAGGCUUUGACGGGUAGCCGGCCUGAGAGGGUGACCGGCCACAUUGGGACUGAGAUACGGCCCAGACUCCUACGGGAGGCAGCAGGGGGGAAUAUUGCACAAUGGGCGGAAGCCUGAUGCAGCAACGCCGCGUGCGGGAUGACGGCCUUCGGGUUGUAAACCGCUUUCGCCUGUGACGAAGCGUGAGUGACGGUAAUGGGUAAAGAAGCACCGGCUAACUACGUG
rnacentral:rRNA from 1 species